rnacentral:rRNA from 1 species
GACGAACGCUGGCGGCGUGCUUAACACAUGCAAGUCGAACGGAAAGGCCUCUUUCGGGUGGUACUCGAGUGGCGAACGGGUGAGUAACACGUGAGUAGCCUGCCCUUGACUUUGGGAUAACUUCAGGAAACUGGGGCUAAUACCGGAUAGGAGCUCCUGCUGCAUGGUGGGGGUUGGAAAGUUUCGGCGGUUGGGGAUGGACUCGCGGCUUAUCAGCUUGUUUGUGGGGUAGUGGCUUACCAAGGCUUUGACGGGUAGCCGGCCUGAGAGGGUGACCGGCCACAUUGGGACUGAGUGACGGACCAGACUGCUACGGGCGGGAGCAGUGGGGAAUAUUGCACAAGGGGUGGGCGCCUGCUGCAGCGACGACGUGCGCGGGAUGACGGCCUUCGGGUUGUAAACCGACUUCGUUCCUGACGAAGCAUUGUGUGACGGUAGUGGGUAAAGAAGCACCGGCUAACUACGUG